GAACGGCACUUCAAGUCAAGCCUAUUUCAAUAAACAAGAAAUAAGUGAAAACAAUAAGAAAGACUUGAGGGAGUCUUAAAAUAAUAUUAUAAAUAUAAUUUUUAUAAUGUUAUCCUUUAAACUAGACUACUAAGAAGUACUUUACCUCCUCCUUGGCACAGGAUGCCGGCUAGAUUAUGGGUACCACAACGGCGCCUAUUUCCACUGUGAAGCAGUAAUGUCUAAACAAACAUUACUGUGUUUUGGCCCAAAGGGAACCUAGUGAAAUUAUUGGGCAAAUGAGUCUUAACAUCUUGUCUCAAGGUGACGAGCGCAAUUGAAGUGCCACUUUUUGGGUUAUUUAAGAAUCCUGAAUGGCACUGAAUUGUAAUGGGAAGGGUGUAUCAAUUACCUUCAGCUGAUCGUCCUGCUCGACUCGAGUGAUGGAUUUUCAUAAAAAAAAGUAUUUAGUUAUAUUUCAAGUACCUCAAAUAUAGCCACAAGAAAUAAUUUUGAUUGUUGUUGAAGCUGAUAUAAGUGUUAUCAAAGUAGUGUUACCUAUUUUCAAUAAGGAAACAGACAAAUAUUUCUGUAGUUUAUUAAAAAUAAUACCUGUUAAAUUUAAGCAUAUUUCUGAAAACCGCAAUGAAACUAAAUAUUUCACUUGCUAAAAUAAUAAUUUUAAUUUAUAACUGCAAUAUUUAUAAUUACUCCGUUUCCAUCAAUCUUACUUGAUCACAUAUUUUACCAUAAAGUGAAAUAAGUUGGAACUUUAUUUAAAUAUUUUUUUUUGGUGUAUUUUUCUUCAAAAUGUAGUAAUUUUCUACCUUAUUCUAACACAAAAAUAAUUAAGCUACACACAUCUAUUUUUGUAUGUGACCGAAAUACUCUAUUUAUUUUAUUAUGAUUUUUUGAAAUCAUCAAUAUAAACAUGUCAAACUUUAAUUGUGAUUUCCCAUACUUCAGUUUAUGAUUAAAGGUGCGACAAGUCUAGUGGGUCAGAAUUUAAUUUUUUGGAUGAUUUAGAUAGAUAGAACAUUUAAGUUUAUUCUUUACAUUUGUUCACUCAUUUAACUAAAUAAAACAUAUGUAUGAA